AUGAACGCUGGCGGCGUGCCUAAUACAUGCCCGUCGAGCGAACGGACGAGAAGCUUGCUUCUCUGAUGUUAGCGGCGGACGGGUGAGUAACACGUGGAUAACCUACCUAUAAGACUGGGAUAACUUCGGGAAACCGGAGCUAAUACCGGACAAUAUUUUGAACCGCAUGGUUCAAAAGUGAAAGACGGUCUUGCUGUCACUUAUAGAUGGAUCCGCGCUGCAUUAGCUAGUUGGUAAGGUAACGGCUUACCAAGGCAACGAUGCAUAGCCGACCUGAGAGGGUGAUCGGCCACACUGGAACUGAGACACGGUCCAGACUCCUACGGGAGGCAGCAGUAGGGAAUCUUCCGCAAUGGGCGAAAGCCUGACGGAGCAACGCCGCGUGAGUGAUGAAGGUCUUCGGAUCGUAAAACUCUGUUAUUAGGGAAGAACAUAUGUGUAAGUAACUGUGCACAUCUUGACGGUACCUAAUCAGAAAGCCACGGCUAACUACGUG
rnacentral:rRNA from 1 species